UGGGGAAUAUUGGACAAUGGGCGCAAGCCUGAUCCAGCCAUGCCGCGUGAGUGAAGAAGGCCUUCGGGUUGUAAAGCUCUUUUGUCCGGAAAGAAAAGCUUUCGGUUAAUACCCGGAAGUCCUGACGGUACCGGAAGAAUAAGCACCGGCUAACUUCGUGCCAGCAGCCGCGGUAAUACGAAGGGUGCAAGCGUUACUCGGAAUUACUGGGCGUAAAGCGUGCGUAGGUGGUUUGUUAAGUCUGAUGUGAAAGCCCUGGGCUCAACCUGGGAAUUGCAUUGGAUACUGGCAGGCUAGAGUGCGGUAGAGGAUGGCGGAAUUCCCGGUGUAGCAGUGAAAUGCGUAGAGAUCGGGAGGAACAUCCGUGGCGAAGGCGGCCAUCUGGACCAGCACUGACACUGAGGCACGAAAGCGUGGGGAGCAAACA
rnacentral:rRNA from 1 species